CCUACGGGUGGCUGCAGUGAGGAAUAUUGGUCAAUGGGCGUGAGCCUGAACCAGCCAAGUAGCGUGAAGGAUGACUGCCCUACGGGUUGUAAACUUCUUUUAUAAAGGAAUAAAGUGCGGCACGUGUGCCUUUUUGUAUGUACUUUAUGAAUAAGGAUCGGCUAACUCCGUGACAGCAGCCGCGGUAAUACGGAGGAUCCGAGCGUUAUCCGGAUUUUUUGGGUUUAAAGGGAGCGUGGAUGGGACGUUAAGUCCGUUGUGAAAGUUUGCGGCUCAACCGUAAAAUUGCAAUUGAUACUGGCAGCCUUGAGUACAGUUGAGGUAGGCGGAAUUCGUGGUGUAGCGGUGAAAUGCUUAGAUAGCACGAAGAACUCCGAUUGCGAAGGCAGCCUACUAAACUGCAACUGACAUUGAUGCUCGAAAGUGUGGGUAUCAAACAGGAUUAGAUACCCCAGUAGUC
rnacentral:rRNA from 1 species